GGCUUCGUGGCUUAGUUGGAUUAAGUACCCUGGUAAACAGGACAUCCUGGGUUCUAAUCCCAGCGGUUCCU
rnacentral:tRNA from 1 species